CAUCAAUCAAAUUCAGAAAAAUGAUUUCAAUUUUAAAUAAUACAUGGUGGUGGUCUAACUUACGUCGAUGGUCGUGAGAAGGUCGCUUAUUGUAUAAUUGAAACUAAAAUAUACUAAAAAGGCUUGUC
rfam:Flavobacterium indicum GPTSA100-9 complete genome